CCUGCUAAGUUUAAGCAUACUAGCUUAAGUGUAGGAAAAAAAACUUGCAAGGAUGAACCCUUAGUAAUGACAAGAACAUCAAGAAGAGCGUAACAUGAAAAUCCAUUGGCAACAUCCCUUGAAUUAGCAUGAAAAUCCGUUGGGAGUGUCCCUUGAAUUGUAGUUUGUAAAAGCAUUCUCAACGGUGAAUUGACCCACCCACGUAUCCUAGAGGGGCGUGCUUGAGAAGGUGAUUUCCUCGUCAGCCCUACACCUUAUCACACCAUGAGACAUCAUCUUCGAGUUGGGUUGUUGGGAAUGCAACAUUACUUGGGUGGUAAAUUAUGUCCAACGCUAAAUACAAGUGAAACUUCGAUAAAGAUCCAAUACCACGAGGGAAAGAUAAAAGGGACUUUGAAAAGAAAGUUAAAGAGUGCUUGAAAUUGUCAAGAGGGAAGUGGAUGGACACUGGCAAUGCAUCUCCAUUGGGUGUAAAACAAUUUAUGCAUGUUCAUCAUUCAACUUGGGGUGUAAAUUAACCAUAAGGGUUAUUUCAAGUGGUAGACGUGAAGCUAUCCCAACAGAGUAGGCCAUUUCCCCAGCUUGAAUCUCGUUCAAUCCAUAGACACGUGCAAUACCAUCUCCAACUGAUACCACUUGACCGAUCUCAUCA
rnacentral:ncRNA from 1 species